rnacentral:rRNA from 1 species
GGCUUCGGCUCGGAAAGUACAGUGGCGAAAGGGUGAGGACAUCGUGGAUAACCUACCCGAGAGUGGGGAAUAACCUUCCUAACGGAGGGCUAAUACCGCAUUCGCCCUCGAGGUCGCAUGGCUUUGAGGGGAAAGACGGGGAUCCUUCGGGACCUGUCGCUCACGGAGGGGUUCACGACCCAUCAGCUAGUUGGUGAGGUAACGGCUCACCAAGGCUCUGACGGGUACCCGGGCUGAGAGGCUGACCGGGCACACUGGAACUGAGACACUGUCCAGACACCUACGGGUGGCUGCAGUUUGGAAUUUUGGGCAAUGGGCGAAAGCCUGACCCAGCGACGCCGCGUGGAGGAUGAAGGCCCUCGGGUUGUAAACUCCUGUCACACGUUAGGAAAUGUUUGGUGACUAAUACUCACUGGACUUGACAAAGGCGUGGGAGGAAGCGCCGGCUAACUCUGUGCCAGCAGCCGCGGUAAGACAGAGGACGCGAACGUUGUUCGGUGUCACUGGGCUUAGAGCGCACGUAGGCGGCCUAGUUUGUGGGGGGUGAAAGCUCCGGGCUUAACCCGGAAAUUGCCCUCCAAACGGCUAGGCUUGAGGGUCGGAGGGGGAAGCGGAACUUCACGUGUAGCGGUGAAAUGCGUUGAUAUGUGAGGGAACGCCGAUGGCGAAGGCAGCUUCCUGGUCGACUUCUGACGCUGAGGUGCGAAAGCGUGGGGAGCAAACGGUAUUAG